rnacentral:rRNA from 1 species
AGAAUCAACGCUGGCGGCGUGCCUAACACAUGCAAGUCGAACGAGAAAGUGGAGCAAUCCAUUAGUAAAGUGGCGCACGGGUGAGUAACACGUGACUAACCUACCCUUGAGUGGGGGAUAACCUAGAGAAAUCUGGGCUAAUACCGCAUAAUACCUUCGGGUCAAAGGAGCAAUUCGCUUAAGGAGGGGCCGCGGCCGAUUAGUUAGUUGGCGGGGUAAUGGCCCACCAAGACUAUGAUCGGUA